CCUACGGGAGGCAGCAGUGGGGAAUUUUGGACAAUGGACGCAAGUCUGAUCCAGCAAUGCCGCGUGCAGGACGAAGGCCUUCGGGUUGUAAACUGCUUUUGUACGGAACGAAACGGUCUGCUUUAAUACAGUGGGCUAAUGACGGUACCGUAAGAAUAAGCACCGGCUAACUACGUGCCAGCAGCCGCGGUAAUACGUAGGGUGCGAGCGUUAAUCGGAAUUACUGGGCGUAAAGCGUGCGCAGGCGGUUAUAUAAGUCAGAUGUGAAAUCCCCGGGCUCAACCUGGGACCUGCAUUUGAGACUGUAUAGCUAGAGUACGGUAGAGGGGGAUGGAAUUCCGCGUGUAGCAGUGAAAUGCGUAGAUAUGCGGAGGAACACCGAUGGCGAAGGCAAUCCCCUGGACCUGUACUGACGCUCAUGCACGAAAGCGUGGGGAGCAAACAGGAUUAGAUACCCUGGUAGUCCACGCCCUAAACGAUGUCAACUGGUUGUUGGGUCUUCACUGACUCAGUAACGAAGCUAACGCGNGAGUGCGCGNGGNGACGCGCGAGUAGAGANANAGAGUGNGNGNGAGAGNGCGACGACGACGACGAGGGAGGNGG
rnacentral:rRNA from 1 species